ACAGUAGGUACGUUUAUAAAUCCCACUGCUAACGUCAUCAAAAAAAGAUGUUCAUGAAAUAGUUUCAAAUCUGUCAAAAAUCUAUCAAAUUUUGGAAAUUUUACAACUGAGGCGCCUUUUGGAAGAUUUCCAGAUUGAUCGUAAAAUGGGGCUAUUCUGGUGUUUUCAUGCAAAAGAAGCUUCUCAAAACUGAAACUGAUAAAACUGUUAAUCAAGCACUGUUGACGGUUUGUCCAGGGUUGUUGGUGGAGAAGCACAUUUUGAAUCCGUCGACUCUUGACAUAGCUCUGUACAACCCAUACAUCGACGGUCAAGAAACGAUCGUCUAGAUGAUCAUGUUCGAUGAGAUGGAGUUGGCUGUAAAUAUCCACUAGGGUUGCGGUUUACGAAUCCAAGAUCUUUCGUUUCCCGUCAAACUCAAACUCUGCGGGUUACUGGACCCUCCGGAACCUCACGGACGCGAUUGGUGUCUUCUAGCCCUCCGAUUGGGUCUCUGCCAAGACAAAAUAGCAGCUCUGGACUCCCAACAUUCCAGCCACACCAUGCGACUACUCACAACCGCCGAUUGUUCUAUAGGUGCUCUUAUAACCAGUUUGCAUGAGCUAGACCGACUCGAUGCAGCAGAAGUCGUCCUCCGUUCCGCACCCAUAUUUAAAAUCAUAGAGCAUGUCAGUGUUUAGACAUUAGACAUUUUUUAGAACUAUUCUAAAGCUCAAGUCCCGGUUCUUUGAUA